GUAAAGAAAUUGGCUUAUUAUGGACGAUUUGCCAACUUUCGCUGCUCCCAUCACCACUAUCUUAUGGCGAAACGAAUUCUCCGUUUGCUUCGACGUACCGUUACCCUCGCUCUCGCUGGCCGCGGACAAUCUCUCCGUACUGCUGAUCGAAAGGAACGAAGGAGGGAUAAUGGAUGAAAAAAACCGACGGCGGGUGACGGUAAAUUUGGCGAACAUCCGUUCGGUUCGCCGCUGAGAAACCGUGAGCCCGCGGGUAGCGUUUCGAUUGAGCCACCCUGUGGGGCGAAAGUAAAACAGGAAGAAAGCGAGGAAGGAAGUCGAGAGGAGGAGGAGGGAGAAAUCCCUGGGAUCUCGGAAGCUGCUCCGAGGAAUAACCUGAACCUGAACCCAACCUGACCCAACGUAAAAAAUGUUCGCGCGAGCCCGAGCCACGGGGGUCACGAUGUCAACGUUCGCUUUGAUGCCGAAAAGAAAAUUUUCCGUACCGUUUCUUAUUUCCGAUGCUUUAUUCCGCGCUUCUCUUCGUUUCCGUGCAGAGGAGAUAAAUGAAAAGACAAAAAGGAGAGAAAGAAAGAAAGAAAAAAAAAAAUCAAGACGGAAAGCGGUGGAAACGGGCGAGUAGGAAGAGGAGGAAAACGGAGGAGGUGACUGUACGAUGGAAAAAAUGCCGCCUCAAAUUGGCAAUUUUGGCCGAUCGACGAGGUCUUGAAAAAAAGAAUCAAGCAUCCGAGGUCCCGUGGGAAUGCGGUGGUGGUCUCUGGUCAACAGGUAGAAUACCGACUGGCAGGGGAUUCGAAGUUGCGGAAGAAUAAGACGAAGAAGAAGUGGGGAUUCUUUUUUCACACGAAUAUGAGGACGACGACGGUGCAGGGGUGAGAUGGAAGUUUAUGCCAUAGUGUUCCUCGCAGCACGUAUCCUGAGCGAUACGAAUACAUGUAGGAGGUACGGGGUGGUACCCAGCUGUUAAAGGUCAGCGAAGUUGGCCACGUGGAGGACUAUAAUACACGAUUUUUCAGAUUUUCCAUUGAUUCGAAUGGGAUAAUUCGUGUGGCUGAUGAGUCGAAUGAAGAUAACGGACGAGAUAACCAGAUCCAUCCCCCGAACGUCUCAUUCUUAUUUAUUUCGUUUCAAUUCGCAUCAAACGUCUGAAAAAUCUAAGGUAAUUGCAUUCUUGGUCUCUCGAGAAAAAACAGUCAGAGGAUCAGAGGCUACAGUCUCCAGACAUUUGCAAUUUUGGGGGCUGGACAAUAGACCCAAGCAACAGUGAAGCUACGUGUCAGUUUUAUUUGGAUGUGGAUGCAACGUUGGUUGGAAAAUGCAGAAGAAUCGGUGUACAGAAUUUCCCAGGUGAUUGAUGACACUGUUUGUUGGUAGCCAAGGUGAUUGAAUAGUUCAUGA